UUUCACCUACGGGGGGCAGCAGUGGGGAAUAUUGCACAAUGGGGGAAACCCUGAUGCAGCGACGCCGCGUGAGUGAAGAAGUAUUUCGGUAUGUAAAGCUCUGUCAGCAGGGAAGAAGAAAGACGGUACCUGACCAAGAAGCCCCGGCUAACUACGUGCCAGCAGCCGCGGUAAUACGUAGGGGGCAAGCGUUAUCCGGAAUCACUGGGUGUAAAGGGAGCGUAGACGGCUGUGCAAGCCUGGAGUGAAAGGCGGGGGCCCAACCCCCGGACUGCUCUGGGAACUGUAUGGCUGGAGGGCAGGAG
rnacentral:rRNA from 1 species